GGCUACGGCCAUACCACCCUGAACGUGCCCGAGUCUCAGAAGCUAAGCAGGGUCAGGCCUGGUUAGUACUUGGAUAGGAGAAUCAAGUCACCCUUGAGU
rnacentral:rRNA from 1 species